rnacentral:tmRNA from 1 species
GCUGGUCCAAUGCUGAUGCUCAGAGGCGGCGGAUGAGAACUUUCUGGGCUAGCGGGCGCUCUAAGCCGGUCGGUGGGCGUGGGCAACUGCGAAUAACAAAUCAUCGGCUACACACGUAGGGCUGUUGUGCUGAAUGUUCUCGGACAGGGGUUCGAUUCCCCUCACCUCCACCA